UACAGAGGUCUCAAGCGUUGUUCGGAUUCAUUGGGCGUAAAGGGUGCGUAGGUGGCGCUGUAAGUCGGGUGUGAAAUUUCGGAGCUUAACUCCGAAACUGCAUUCGAUACUGCGGUGCUUGAGGACUGGAGAGGAGACUGGAAUUCAUGGUGUAGCAGUGAAAUGCGUAGAGAUCAUGAGGAAGACCAGUGGCGAAGGCGGGUCUCUGGGCCACUACUGACGCUGAGAAGCGAAAGCGUGGGGAGCGAACAGG
rnacentral:rRNA from 1 species